rnacentral:rRNA from 1 species
AUUAGGAAUCUCGCGCAAUGGGCGGAAGCCUGACGCAGCGACGUCGCGUGGAGGACGAAAUCUUUCGGGAUGUAAACUCCUUUUAUCGGGGAAGAAGAGUGUGACGGUACCCGAUGAAUAAGCCCCGGCUAACUACGUGCCAGCAGCCGCGGUAAUACGUAGGGGGCCAGCGUUGUCCGAAGUUACUGGGCGUAAAGAGCGCGUAGGCGGGCCUCUAAGUGGGGGGUGAAAGGUCGGGGCUCAACCCCGACACUGCCUCUCAUACUGGGGGCCUUGAGUGCGGGAGAGGCGAGUGGAAUGGUCGGUGUAGCGGUGAAAUGCGUAGAUAUCGAUCGGAACACCCAUGGCGAAGGCAGCUCGCUGGCCUGCAACUGACGCUGAGGCGCGAAAGCCGGGGGAGCGAACAG